UAACGCGUGAGGAACCUGCCUCAAAGAGGGGGACAACAGUUGGAAACGACUGCUAAUACCGCAUAAGCCCACGGUGCCGCAUGGUACAGAGGGAAAAGGAGCAAUCCGCUUUGAGAUGGCCUCGCGUCCGAUUAGCUAGUUGGUGAGGUAACGGCCCACCAAGGCGACGAUCGGUAGCCGGACUGAGAGGUUGAACGGCCACAUUGGGACUGAGACACGGCCCAGACUCCUACGGGAGGCAGCAGUGGGGAAUAUUGCACAAUGGGGGAAACCCUGAUGCAGCGACGCCGCGUGGAGGAAGAAGGUCUUCGGAUUGUAAACUCCUGUUGUUGGGGAAGAUAAUGACGGUACCCAACAAGGAAGUGACGGCUAACUACGUGCCAGCAGCCGCGGUAAAACGUAGGUCACAAGCGUUGUCCGGAAUUACUGGGUGUAAAGGGAGCGCAGGCGGGAAGACAAGUUGGAAGUGAAAUCUAUGGGCUCAACCCAUAAACUGCUUUCAAAACUGUUUUUCUUGAGUAGUGCAGAGGUAGGCGGAAUUCCCGGUGUAGCGGUGGAAUGCGUAGAUAUCGGGAGGAACACCAGUGGCGAAGGCGGCCUACUGGGCACCAACUGACGCUGAGGCUCGAAAGUGUGGGUAGCAAACAGGAUUAGAUACCCUGGUAGUCCACACCGUAAACGAUGAUUACUAGGUGU
rnacentral:rRNA from 1 species